rnacentral:rRNA from 1 species
UACGUAGGGGUCGAGCGUUGUCCGGAGUUACUGGGCGUAAAGCGUGCGCAGGCGGCUCAUUGCGCCCGGCGUGAAAGCCCCCGGCUCAACCGGGGAGGGUCGUCGGGGACGGGUGAGCUUGAGGGUAUCAGGGGUUGGUGGAAUUCCCGGUGUAGUGGUGAAAUGCGUAGAGAUCGGGAGGAACACCCGUGGCGAAGGCGGCCAACUGGGAUACACCUGACGCUGAGGCACGAAGGCGUGGGGAGCGAACGGGAUUAGAAACCCCCGUAGUCC